rnacentral:rRNA from 1 species
GACAGAGGGUGCAAACGUUGUUCGGAAUUACUGGGCGUAAAGCGUGUGUAGGCGGCCAAGCAAGUCGGGUGUGAAAGCCCUGGGCUCAACCUAGGAAGUGCACUCGAAACUGCGAAGCUUGAGUCCUGGAGAGGAAGGCGGAAUUCUCGGUGUAGAGGUGAAAUUCGUAGAUAUCGAGAGGAACACCGGUGGCGAGGGCGGCCUUCUGGACAGUGACUGACGCUGAGACGCGAAAGCGUGGGGAGCAAACAGG